GAGUGAACGCUGGCGGUAGGCCUAACACAUGCAAGUCGAACGGCAGCACAGUAAGAGCCUGCUCUUACGGGUGGCGAGUGGCGGACGGGUGAGGAAUACAUCGGAAUCUACUUUUUCGUGGGGGAUAACGUAGGGAAACUUACGCUAAUACCGCAUACGACCUACGGGUGAAAGCAGGGGAUCUUCGGACCUUGCGCGAUUGAAUGAGCCGAUGUCGGAUUAGCUAGUUGGCGGGGUAAAGGCCCACCAAGGCGACGAUCCGUAGCUGGUCUGAGAGGAUGAUCAGCCACACUGGAACUGAGACACGGUCCAGACUCCUACGGGAGGCAGCAGUGGGGAAUAUUGGACAAUGGGCGCAAGCCUGAUCCAGCCAUACCGCGUGGGUGAAGAAGGCCUUCGGGUUGUAAAGCCCUUUUGUUGGGAAAGAAAAGCAGCAGGUUAAUACCCCGCUGUUCUGACGGUACCCAAAGAAUAAGCACCGGCUAACUUCGUG
rnacentral:rRNA from 1 species